GAAAGGAGACCUGCCAUUCAGCUUCCAUAGCCAUGCUAGCAGGAGGAUGAGAAUGAAUUGUGGUUACCUUUCCUUUCUGGAGCGGGGUGGUAUCAUAAUUUACUAGUAGUACCUAAAACCCAUAAGGAUCCAAUGUCAGUGUUUAUAUGGUCAAGCAAGUGAACUUGUGUUGUCGUUACUAGUGAAUUUGUUUGUCGGUGGUAUCAUAAUUUCUACUAGUAGUACCUAAAACCCGUAAGGAUCCUUUACCAGCUGGUGGAGUACUGUUUAUAGGUAUAUGAGUUUGUCAGAAACUUUGGACAAAUGGAACAAAAGAAAAUUAGCAAUAUGUUGAUGUGUACUCGAUAUGUGUGGUACAUUUCUAAUGGGUUCUUCGCCUUUGCUCUCUUCUGAAGA
rnacentral:lncRNA from 1 species